GAUGAAGAACGUAGCGAAAUGCGAUAAGUAAUGUGAAUUGCAGAAUUCAGUGAAUCAUCGAAUCUUUGAACGCACAUUGCGCCCGCCAGUAUUCUGGCGGGCAUGCCUGUCUGAGCGUCAUUUCAACCCUCAUGCCCCUAGGGCGUGGUGUUGGGGAUCGGCCAAAGCCCGCGAGGGACGGCCGGCCCCUAAAUCUAGUGGCGGACCCGUCGCGGCCUCCUCUGCGAAGUAGUGAUAUUCCGCAUCGGAGAGCGAUGAGCCCCUGCCGUUAAACCCCCAACUUUCCAAGGUUGACCUCAGAUCAGGUAGGAAUACCCGCUGAACUUAAGCAUAUCAAUAAGCGGAGGA
rnacentral:misc_RNA from 1 species